GGGGAAAGGGUAAAGAAAUUGUGAAAUUCUAUACAGAGAACUGUGUAUUGAUUAAUCAAGGUGUUCCGGCAAUAAAUGGCAAAGCAGAGUUGUUACAUCUCUACCAAACCGUUUUUAAUAAAACAACAAUUGUUAAAAGGUUAACGUUUUAUGGACGACGUUUAUGACGAGGGAGACAUUGUUACUCUUAGAUACCACGCGACCAACCAUUUAGCAGAUUGCAGUGUCUUUACGACUACCCGACUAAUCAUCGUUUGGAAAAAGAUCAAGGGCAAAUACUUGAUUCACAAUCAAGUUUCAAAUGAGCGAGAGAACCUCUGUCCUAAAUGAUUGUUAAACUCAGCAUUGGAGGAAACAAGACACUACUUUUAUUUGUCUUAUUAAUAAAUUUCUAGAUAAAAUGAGCUUUGAAGACCAUAACCGUUGUAGACUUUCAAUUUGAAUUCUAUUUUGAAACAUCUUGAUUACAAAAUGUUCUUGUCUCCGUUUGAA